GUUACAUGCUUUACUAUUCAAGAUUUUAAAGCAAAAGGCUGAUAGGUUUGUUUUGGAAUUCAAAGAGAUUGUUAAACCUAGUGCUUUUAUAAGGUCGUCUUUUGAGUUAGGUCAGAGAGCUUUUACAACCGAGAGUGUCCUUAACCUGAGAUUCCAUGGGGUUUGGGGGAUUUCCGAAUCUCCUGAGGUUGUGUUGAAGUUCUGUGUGUUACCUGCACAUUUUUCAGGAGUGAAUGGUUGUGGGUCUUUAAGAGGGUCAAUGAUCAGGGGGGAAAAACACAGCUUUUUACAAUAAUAGUGUUUUUAAAAUAAUAAUAAUAUUUUUUUAUUACACAAAUCAUAGAUUUCCUUACGUCCCAUUGUCUUCUCAAUUGAAUCUUCGAGAAAUUUUCCUUCUGCAGUUCUUCUCUCCUGUUGCCCACAGUAUCUCAUACCCUUUACUUUAUAGCCUUAUGAGUGAGUAAAAAGUUUAUAAGAAGUAAAGAGUUCUGUUUAGGGAAGCUGUUUGAAUAGACUUCAUAUGUUUGAGUCAAGACUAAUAAAAAAUUAUAGAGGAAUUUUCUUCCCAGUCAUUUAAAAUCCUCUGUUUUAUUCAGUGAAAAACAGUUAUGUUUUGAGUAAAUAACACUGAAAUAAACUGGUGCAGCAAGUGCAAAUAGAAUGUAUGUAAAUGUGAAGGUUUCCUUUUGAGGACUUCAUGAGUUUGUGGUGAAGAUGUCUCAGAACAAGUCAAUAGAGAUAAUUAUGAUUUACUGAGAUUAUUGCUUCUGUUACCUUAUUUCAUUCUAUUUUCACUUAUCUUAUGUUUUUUAGGAGGUUUCAAGUCAACAGAACCAACGUGAUUGAUUUUUUUAAAACUGUUUGUAAAUCAAAACUUUGGAAAUGUUUUCUUUUGCUUAUUUAUUAAGAGAUUUUGGUAUAAGGAUGCCUUCUUUAUUUUUAAGGCCACUUAAUAUUGGUUUUGGAGAUUAUUUUGGAUGCUUAUAAGUUACGAAAAAGUUUAACUUAGAUUAUCAGGGGAAAAUUCCUAAAUUUAUGGUGUUUGACUUUCCUGCUUUUUAAGAUGGAAGAACUGAAGAGGCAGGAUUCAUUUUAUCACAGAAAUAGGAAGAAGCUUUGUUCACAGUAAAAUAGAAAUCCUACCUAGACUGAUAAUAGAUGUUCAGAGCAGGCAGUUAUUUCUUAUAUUACUUUUUCCAAAAAGUAAAAACCAAAAAUGUAAAAUUUUCAGGAAAAUCUUUGAGAAUGGAACUUAAAGUUUAUCUAUUAAAUAAGCAAACACAGUAGAACCAUUAGCUGAAUAAUCCUCUUUUAACCAAUUUUGCCCACUGAAUUAAAAAUCACUAGAUAAAAUCACUGGAAAGAUAUACUUUGGGCAAUUCUGGUGUAUUUAGACGUUAUCCAUAGAAAUUAUUUCUAUUUUGUAUAAUAGGAGAAAUUAACAGUAUCAUUAGAAUGGAAUAACAGGUGGACAUUUCAAUCGAAUAUAUCUUAACUUGGCUAUUAUAAAGUCUGUUGUCUUUGCAGCCAGAACUUUUUGUCUGCUUUUGUUUCUUGGCACUGGUGAUGAUGGAAAUAAAAACCUCAGCAUCCUGGUGACGGGGAGAGAUGUUGCCUGAGAUAAUGGUUUCACUUUCAGAAAGUGAGGUCAAAGUAUUAAAACAAUAAUAGCUGUGCUCACUUAGAGAACAAACAAGCUUUGUAAGACUUUUUCAACUCUUCCCAAUCAAUAUUCUGUCAUUACUUAGAUAAAAUUGGAGGAGAGAAGAAAAAGUAGAUAAGGGCAUGACAAUUAGGAAAAUGUAUGAAAAUGAAGCCUGGGCACUUGGUUUAAGGUCUUUUAGGCCCGUGAAGCUUAUGUGAGCUGUGAGUCAGCUUCUGUUUAUUAAUCGUUCUGUAGGAGAGAAAAUGCCAAGUAUUCGUUUAUCGUUGUCGAGGAGCAUCAGUGAGCCUUCCUUUUUCUCUAUUAAGGCAUGUAAAAAUUAUCCUUGAAGAGCUGGUACUGAAGAUCAACUUGAUGCUUCUAAAGGAAUGUGUGACCCUAUAAUUAAUUAGAGUUUAGAUUUGAAAGUUGAAUCUUAACCUAAGAGUUUUUAUGUUUGCUUGAAUAGGAGUAGGCGGAGAAAGCUGUUAACUUGAAUACUAGAUUUUUAUUUAAUGAUGAUAGACUCAUGGCCCUUGCCUUACAUAUAUUUUAUAUUAUUAUUAUUCAAGAAGUCACUAAUGGAAAUCUUUGAAUUUAAAGAGGUUAGCUCCUUUUUUACAUAUUUAUAUUUAUAAAAUAUUAUUAAAUGAGUAGCAUUGUCUUUAUCACCUUUCCAAUGAAAAGAUGCAAGUGCAUGGAUUAUAUUAAAUAUAAAUAUUGUAUAUAAUAUAUAAUAUAAAAUAAUAUCAUAUAUGUAGUAUCAUAGGGUGUGUGUGUGCGGGCAUGCAUGCCUGAAGGUGAUUUCUUCAAAUACAUCAUUAAACUUGUCUUCCCUAAAUAAGUUCUUACUUGUCUUUAGGAUACAGUUUUUGACUGAUAUAGGAAGUGAAGUAUAUUCCUUUUCUUUUCUAAAUCUAAUCUGUCGUUUUCUUUUAUCAGCCAGACUCGUGUCUCGUCCUCAUUACUGUUCCCCUCAUCAGCUGAAGCUGUUCUUUCCCGGUAAUGACCAGUCUUAAACAUUUGCAUCACUCAACAAAUAGCCAUUCUCACUAUUUGUCUUGCCUGAUUCACUUCUCAUAUAUACUCAGCGUUUGAUUUGUUUUAAAUGUGACCCCACUGAGAACAUUGUUCUGGAGAGCUUUUUCUGAUGCCAUUAGGCAACAACAGUGUAGCGUUAUCAGUCAUCACUUCAAUAUUAUUAAAAUGUUGGCUGCAACUUGACUUCUUUAAUUGAAUCUAGCAUUUUCUAGGCUGGCGUUUCUUAAUGGAGGUUGCAGGUCAGACUUGUCCACGAACUUCUAUUAAUACACAGGAGUCCAGGUACUGCUCUGGACUUUCUGAAUCUCUUUACUUGAUAUUCUUGAUAUUAAAAAAAGUAUGACUCAGGAUUAUUACAUUAAAUCUUAAAGUAUUUUCCUCUAUAGAGAUUAUCUCCAUUCAUUUGUAUAAAUCAGAUCUAAUAUUUACAGGCUAAUUUGAAAAUAGGUUUAAUCAUUAUCCUUGGAGACAUUUUGUCUAAAGUUUGCUUGGAAUGGCUUUCUUCUCUUUGUUUUGUGUGCCAUAGAAACAGUCAGACUUCCUCUUCAGUUGCAGUAUUCUCAUCACAAGCCCUCUUCAGACCUUACACAUUUGAAAAUUAUAACUAAUAUUUGCCUCCAACAAAGUGUCCGUUUGCUUUUAUUAGUUCCUAGUGACUAUCAGUGAAUAUUUUGCAUAUUUGAAUUAGGUAACAUUUCAAAGUAUUAAUAAAAAGCAUAAGUAACAAAAUGCCAGAUUUAAAACAUAGAAUUAGAUCUCUUGUAGCCUUGAUGCCAGUAAUCAAUAGAUUUUCCUAAUUAAAAAGGAUUGGGCAAAUUCCCUAAGGACUUCUGAUGACUUCUGUAGGUACAGCCUCUGUAUGGUAAAUAAUUGAGAUCAAAGAUGAAAUGAUCUUUAAGUUAAAUAAUUAAGAUUAAGUUUAAAUAAUCUUUAAGUUUUCAAAUGAAAAGUCCUAGUAGUACAGAAAAUAAAGCAUUAACGUUUAAGAUACUUAGGCCUAUAUUGGAAAUGGUUCCAUUUUCUACAUUGAAAAUAUCCUCGAGUAUAGGAGUUAAUGUGAUUUUCUUCAGUAUAAGAAUCUUGAGUAAAAGUGGCUAUAUUGUCAAAUACUUUCCUGGGAGAUUGUAGUAAUCCGUCAGACACGUCUUCUUACAUUUCCUCAUUGACAUCUGUCACAUGUGGGUAAUUUCUAAACACCUUGCAGGAUUUGAAGCUAACGGUUUUAGUGAAAAAUAAAAGGACAGAGAUACAACUGUAUUUACUUUUGUCUAAAUGCCUAUAAUCUUAAGAACUGAAAAUUCAGAGGAAAAGAACAAGUAGAAGUUUACUAAUUCAACAUUUUUUUUCCAUGAUAUACUUUGAAUGUUUCCUUAGAAACUUAUUUUACAAAUAUUACCAUAAUAAUAAUAACAAUAACAACAACACAAUGUUGUUAUUGAAAGAAUUACCCAUUCAUUUUUCAAAGUUGACUGUGAGUGGAGUUUUGGGGGGGGGGGGGGGUUUUCACUUAUGAUGGCUGUCUCAUUAUUUAAAAUUUAUAACUAUUUUUGAAUGUGCAGAGUGAUUAGCUAUUUGUAACACUAUUCCGAUGUAGCGUUGUAAUUUGAAAAUAAAAAAACAAGUUAGGAUUUAGGUGGGAUGGAAAAAUUAUAUUUUAUUGAUCAAAAUAUAUACUUUUAAACAAGAAGUCUUAGUACAAUUGGGCCUUUUAAAAUUUUAUUUUGGAAAUAAUAUAUUUCAACAAUAUAUAUUAAAACUAGAGGUUCUCUGGUAGCCAGCGUACUAACUAGUUAAUGUUAAAAUGCUAUUUUUGCUAUUCCUUCUCUUGGAAACAUUUUCCCACACUAUGUGAGCAAUGUGUUUUAAGAUUUAGUGGGCUCAACCCUCAAAUUCAGCAAAUACUCCUCUUGCUUUUUGAAAGGAAAAACUUACCUGUGAUAGACAUAUUAUUUUGCUCUUCAGAAUACUAAAAUUAUAUUAAUCAAUAAACACUUUAGAAAGUGGUUCUGGUAAGGAGUUAUCAGUUAUCGGACUUAACUGAAAAAAAAAAUUCAACCUCUUAGUUUCUUAUAUAGGGAUUAAAGAAAAUAACUUUAUUUCUUCCUUUGGGAUUUUGAUUAUUUUUCUUGGGUAACUUUUAAAGUAAUUAUAGUAGUUUCCACACUUUUUCCAAAAUUAUGGCAUGUUACAGUAAAUCUUACUGUUAAAGGUCUUUCACAUUUUAGACUGGUUUUUUCCUAUUCUGCUUUGUACUGCUUUCUGUGAUUCGUAAAUACCGUCACCAAAAAGGUUUUGUGGCUGCUUACUGUUUAUUUUGUAGUUAGCUCUACAUAAGGAAAACUGUUAGAGACCGAUAUGGCUGGUCUGUUCUCUUCAGAAACUCCUAACAGGUCUGGCUUUCCUUGCCUUGGCUGUUUGCUUUUGUAGACUAGAAUGACAAAUUCAGAAAAAAGUAAUCAGAGACCUAGCCAGACAGUCAUUUUCUGUCAGAUGCCUUGCUGUACGUAGAAGUGAAUCCAUUAAGACAGGAAAAUAUCAAACGCAUAUGAUUUGUCUCUUAUGUCACUUUUUCUGGGACUCAGAUUAAAUCGGAGUAUUUCGGUGUUACCAUAGAGGGUGACAGUGACUUGAAUGCUUAUAUAUGCGCGUCGUCAAUUCAGAGGAGGAUUCUGAAAAUUCGGAAUUGUUAAAAAACUUGCAAAUCGUGCUGCUACUUAAACAUCUAAGGAAUUCACAAAAGUUGUGUCGUUAUCAUAAAUGUUCCUUCUCAUUUAUUCUACUGGAAUUGACAAUGAAAAAAGAUUAUUAAGCCUUAUUUAUAUCUAAUUAUUGACUGCAAACUGUGACUGAAUAUUUGUAUGCCAAAAAAAGGUUUUAAAGUUGAGAGUUUUAGACGUAAUAAAGAUGUGUAAAUACUUUUGAUUAGUAUUUUCAUUAUAAUGAAGUUACUGUUAAUUUGGUGCAAUAUAUUCUUCCCUUCCUCGUCCUUUUAAAAUUAAAUAUAUAAUAUGUAUGUUUUGUUUUGUUACAUUGAAAGCUGUUUGGAAAUUUUUCAGUGUGUGUAUAUGAGUUACUGUUUGCUUUGUUUCUGUAUAGCGUGAUUGAAGAUGAUAACUGAAAAUUUUGCACCCUUUUUAGUCCUUUGGAAAUUUGUAUUCUAACAGUUUUUAAGAAUGUGCAUUUAUUUUGUACAUAAUAAAUAGCUUUGUAUAUGAAAAUGGGCUGGAAUCAAAUUAAAAGAAUGCUGUUCCUUUCCUCGGUUGGUUUGUGAGUCUCAGCUCAUGGCGUCUGGUGAGAACUCGGCCUUCACCGAGUGAGCGGGCAGAGGCCUGAAUGCAGUGCUUGCUAAUGCAUUACUGCUGCUUCUCAAGUGAGCAGAGCCGCUUCUGUAGCCUUCUGUGCACAAGAUAAACGUCAUGCUAAUUGACCAAUUUUUGUCAUAUGUAACAACAGAUAUUAAGCCUUUCGUUUUAAAGCCACCUCAGAAAUAUGGCUACAUUUUUUUCCCCAGGAAAUGAUCAUACGCCAGAAAUCUUCAUUUGUAGUUUAUCAAAUAAUACAUUAGGUUGAGGUUUUUAAAAAACUUUUAUUUCCUUUCAUAAUUAAAAUCUUUUAUUCAUCAAUUUUUGAUUAAUGUCUAAAUGUUGACCUAAUCCUUCUGUUUCUGUUAAAGUUAAUAGAACCUAAUCCAUGAUAAGACAGAAUCCAAGCUCUGUUGGAUUCUUGCUAUGUAGUACUUUUGUCUCCAGAUCCAGUAAAGCAAGACAACAGAAAUGAACAUUAACCUUUUUCUAGUCUGGUACCAUUUGUGCGCUAUUCUACCUCUACUGAAGACACUUGGCUAGAAUUGGAAACCUCUGCAUUCAUUCAUCUGGUGAGAUUUGUCAGUCACAGGACAAUGAAAGCCAGGGCCCUUACAGGCUUAAUUAAGUCUGCCUUGGAGAAAGCCAAAUACCAUCUGACUUCACUCAUGUGGAAGAUAAAAGAGCAAAAUCAGCAAACACAUAGAUACAGAGAAUAUAUUGUUAGAUUGGGGGAGGGUGAAAGGGGUAAAUGGGUCAUUUAUACAAUGAUGGAUGGAAACCAGACUUUUGAUGGUGAGCGCCAGUCUAUACAGAAAUCGAAAUAGAAUGAUGUACACCUGGAAUUCAUACAAUGUUAUAAACCAGUAUUGCCUCAGUUGAAAAAAAGACCACUUUGCUUUUGUGAAAUAAGUCCAUAACACCAUAUCAAGCAUCAAAUAAAUGUAUUUGUUUUACACAAUAUGCUGAAGCUUAUAAUUUCUCACCAUAUAAUGUUUAUUUGGUGAGAAUCUGAGAUUAAACAAUUUUUUGAAGCUUUAUUGUGAAUUUUUUUGCCAGUUUUUUAUUUUGUUCACUAGUGAACUUAGUAGAAUGAUUUUGACAGUCAGUCUAUUCCAUUCUGGUAGAAACUCUUUACCUACAUAGUGUUUGGUGCAUUUUCUAAAGUUGUAUCCAUUCAAAAGUGGUUCAGUUGUCAUUUUGCAGAGACUGAAGAAUUAGGGAAAGGCUACAGAAACAUUGUGA
rnacentral:lncRNA from 1 species